UGCGUAGGGUGCGAGCGUUAAUCGGAAUUACUGGGCGUAAAGCGUGCGCAGGCGGUUCGUCGUGUCCGAUGUGAAAGCCCCGGGCUCAACCUGGGAAUGGCAUUGGAAACUGGCGGGCUUGAGUGUGGCAGAGGGGGGUGGAAUUCCGCGUGUAGCAGUGAAAUGCGUAGAGAUGCGGAGGAACACCGAUGGCGAAGGCAGCCCCCUGGGCUAACACUGACGCUCAGGCACGAAAGCGUGGGGAGCAAACAGG
rnacentral:rRNA from 1 species